rnacentral:rRNA from 1 species
UACGUAGGGUGCAAGCGUUAAUCGGAAUUACUGGGCGUAAAGCGUGCGCAGGCGGUUUUGUAAGACAGAGGUGAAAUGCCUGGGCUCAACCCAGGAACUGCACUCGAAACUCCGAGGCUAGAGUGUGGGAGAGGAUAGUGGAAUUCCCAGUGUAGAGGUGAAAUUCGUAGAUAUUGGGAAGAACACCGGUGGCGAAGGCGGCUAUCUGGACCACAACUGACGCUGAGGCGCGAAAGCGUGGGGAGCAAACAGG